GACGAACGCUGGCGGCGUGCCUAAUACAUGCAAGUCGAGCGAAUGGAUGGGAGCUUGCUCCCUGAAGUUAGCGGCGGACGGGUGAGUAACACGUGGGCAACCUGCCUGUAAGACUGGGAUAACUUCGGGAAACCGGAGCUAAUACCGGAUACAUUCUUUCUUCGCCUGAAGAAAGAUGGAAAGAUGGUUUCGGCUAUCACUUACAGAUGUGCCCGCGGCGCAUUAGCUAGGUGGUGGGGUAACGGCUCACCAAGGCAACGAUGCGUAGCCGACCUGAGAGGGUGAUCGGCCACACUGGGACUGAGACACGGCCCAGACUCCUACGGGAGGCAGCAGUAGGGAAUCUUCCGCAAUGGACGAAAGUCUGACGGAGCAACGCCGUGUGAGCGAAGAAGGCCUUCGGGUCGUAAAGCUCUGUUGUUAGGGAAGAACAAGUACCAGAGUAACUGCUGGUACCUUGACGGUACCUAACCAGAAAGCCACGGCUAACUACGUGCCAGCCGCCGCGGUAAAAC
rnacentral:rRNA from 1 species